rnacentral:rRNA from 1 species
UACGGGAGGCAGCAGUCGGGGAAUAUUGCACAAUGGGCGCAAGCCUGAUGCAGCCAUGCCGCGUGUAUGAAGAAGGCCUUCGGGUUGUAAAGUACUUUCAGCAGUGAGGAAGGUGGGUAUGUUAAUAGCAUACUCAUUUCGACGUUAGCUGCAGAAGAAGCACCGGCUAACUCCGUGCCAGCAGCCGCGGUAAUACGGAGGGUGCGAGCGUUAAUCGGAAUUACUGGGCGUAAAGCGCAUGACAGGUGGUUUGUUAAGUCAGAUGUGAAAGCCCGGGGCUCAACCUCGGAAUUGCAUUUAGAAACUGGCUAAACUAGAGUACUGUAGAGGGGGUAGAAUUUCAGGUGUAGCGGUGAAAUGCGUAGAGAUCUGAAGGAAUACCGGUGGCGAAGGCGGCCCCCCUGGACAGAUACUGACACUCAGAUGCGAAAGCGUGGGGAGCAAACAGGAUUAGAUACCCUGGUAG